AUUGAACGCUGGCGGCAUGCCUUACACAUGCAAGUCGAACGGCAGCACGGGUGCUUGCACCUGGUGGCGAGUGGCGAACGGGUGAGUAAUACAUCGGCACCUGUCCUGUAGUUGGGGAUAGCCCGGCGAAAGCCGGAUUAAUACCGCAUACGAUCUACGGCUGAAAGCGGGGGACCUUCGGGCCCCGCGCUAUCGCGUUGGCCGAUGGCGGAUUAGCUAGUUGGUGGGGUAAAGGCCUACCAAGGCGACGAUCAGUAGCUGGUCUGAGAGGACGACCAGCCACACUGGGACUGAGACACGGCCCAGACUCCUACGGGAGGCAGCAGUGGGGAAUUUUGGACAAUGGGCGAAAGCCUGAUCCAGCAAUGCCGCGUGUGUGAAGAAGGCCUUCGGGUUGUAAAGCACUUUUGUCCGGAAAGAAAUCCUUGGCCCUAAUACGGUCGGGGGAUGACGGUACCGGAAGAAUAAGCACCGGCUAACUACGUG
rnacentral:rRNA from 1 species